GUGAGCAUAACUUUGCUGUCAACCCUGAAGCAGGGCCAAAGAAGAUCCGAGAGAGUCCAGCAGCACAGCAGAUGCAAGGGACAGGCAUGGAUGUUGAGCUCCUGGGGACUCAGCCUCUAUGGGGAAAGCAGAGCACCAUCUAACACCAGAGGACUGGAGUGCAGCCAGAGCAUCGCCCAAGCCAUACCAGGGGAUGGAGGCCAGACCACAGUGAUCCUCUCUCGCUCCUCUCUACCCUUGGGACUUCAGGAGUCUGCCACCUGGUCAAGGAGCAGGAUUCAAGCAAGGUAAAUAGUGACUGAUGGCUUAUCCCAGAGGCUGGAAGCUCUGGGGAAGAAACGGGGCUCUCAGAGGAGCCUGGCAUGGCAGGGGUGAGAGGAGUGCAUCUGUGGGCAGUGGGCUGGAGCCAGCUGUGUGUAUUUGUCCUGCUGAGGUAGGAGCUAGGCUGCUCUUUUCCCUGUGACCAGCCAUCCUGGAGUCGCACAUGUGGCAGUAGGGGGAGGGCGGUGCAUAGCGGCCCUAGAAGUCAGUGUUCUUGUACACGCAGGUGCAUGAUGCAGCCAGCCCUCAUCUUCCUUGUGACUAGUCCCAUUAUUCCCCCGGCUUCCUGCUGACUGCAUCUCUGGCUCUGAAUUCAUAGCUGUGAGGGCCAGCAACCCUAAAAGGACACCACUCUGAAAAUGAAAGUGCAGAGUAGCACCCAAGCUGCUCUGUGAGCCAAACCCUGCACUUACCACGUCAGCUCUACCAGGGCCACUGAUGGAGACCAGUCAGGCAGAGGAACAAGCCCAAGGGGCUGUGGACCCA
rnacentral:lncRNA from 1 species